rnacentral:rRNA from 1 species
CAAUAGCGUAUAUUAAAGUUGUUGCGGUUAAAAAGCUCGUAGUUGGAUUUCUGCCGAGGACGACCGGUCCGCCCUCUGGGUGAGUAUCUGGCUCGGCCUGGGCAUCUUCUUGGAGAACGUAGCUGCACUUGACUGUGUGGUGCGGUAUCCAGGACUUUUACUUUGAGGAAAUUAGAGUGUUUCAAGCAGGCUUACGCCUUGAAUACAUUAGCAUGGAAUAAUAAGAUAGGACCUCGGUUCUAUUUUGUUGGUUUCUAGAGCUGAGGUAAUGAUUAAUAGGGAUAGUUGGGGGCAUUCGUAUUUAACUGUCAGAGGUGAAAUUCUUGGAUUUGUUAAAGGCGGACUACUGCGAAAGCAUUUGCCAAGGAUGUUUNCAUUG